CACCUCUGUUUCAUCUCAGAAUUUCAUUUUAAAAACUUCAAGUUCUUGUUGCUCUUCUUGCCUUACUCACCAAAACCAUGUCUCUUACACCAUUGAUGUUUAGGUCACUGAUGAGGCUACUAACAUCUCUAAUUGGAGCUCCAGCUGCCUCAGUCUCAACCUUGCUUUACUACAGUGAGCUUCUGCCUCAGAAUAUCAUCUUGGAAAGAUUAGUUCGACAUGAAUUGCUCGAUCGAGAAAACUAUUUGUUCCAUUUCCUCAUCAACUUCUUGAGAUGUUUUUGGUAGGUAGGAACCAUCAACCAUAUAUACAACAAUAGACUCAGUGUUUUCCAUAACAGAGCCGGCUUUCUUUCUUGUGCAUUUUUGUAAACCCAUUAUUAUUUCUUGGUGGCUGUUGGUCACUGGUGAGGGUUUGAAUUGUAAAAUCUGUGAUUUGUGAUCAUAAUGAGAUAUAUUUCACAGUUU